rnacentral:lncRNA from 1 species
CGAAGAGUCCACAUCUGGCUUAUAUUUUCUGCUGCCGGUUCUUCAGGAAACUGGCCAGGGGCAGGUUUUUUAAAAAACUAACACACAUCCUAUACCUGUUCCCUUGGGAAAUAAGGCAGUUUUUAUAAGAAAUCUUCGGGGAGUGCUUGGGAAUAAAUGUUGGGAGACUUUGGAGCAUUUGAUUAUUAACAAGAGCCAAUAACUGUGCUCUCAGCUUUACUUGUGAAAACGAUAGUGUACAAUUCAGAUGACUCUGAGUUCAAAGCCUGAGGUGAGUUGGAAAGCCCGUCCUCUACCGUCCUGCAGAGAUACAGACAGGAUAUACCCAGCUGGCCAAGUGGUAAGAUUUAGUAACUCCUUGUCCCCUCCCACUGCUGCUGUAUCCUGCUUUGAGCCUUGGUGGUGGUGGUAGAUGGAAAGUAUUCCCAUUUCAUUCAUUUGUCAGUGUUACUAUUUUAAUCUGUUGAUCGCAAACAAGAUGAUUGUUUAAUCAACUAGUUGUGCAAGGGCCCUACGUUUUUGUGAAAAGUUAAC